rnacentral:rRNA from 1 species
UUGGAGGGCAAGUCUGGUGCCAGCAGCCGCGGUAAUUCCAGCUCCAAUAGCGUAUAUUAAAGUUGUUGCGGUUAAAAAGCUCGUAGUCUGAGUUCUGUUCCGGACUGGCCGGGGAGGUCACCGCCCGGUGCUUGCCCGUCAGGUUCCGAACAGCGCCCGCCAUUGCGAGCGGGAGCCAAGCCGGUUCUGCCGGGGUGCUCUUGACCGAGUGUCCCGCGCGGCCGGCCGGUUCACCUUGAACAAAUGAGAGUGCUCAAAGCAGGCUACUCUUGACACUAAAGCCCGAAUGUUAACUGCAUGGAAUGAUGGAAGAUGAUCUCGGUUCCAUUUUGCUGGCCCUUUUAGGAAUCCGAGUUAAUGAUAAACAGGGACUGUCGGGGGCAUCCGUACUACGACGCGAGAGGUGAAAUUCAGUGACCGUCGUAGGACGAACAACAGCGAAAGCAUUUGCCAAGAAUGUCUUCGUUGAUCAAGAACGAAAGUUAGAGGAUCGAAGGCGAUCAGAUACCGCCCUAGUUCUAACCCUAAACGAUGCUGACCAGCUAUUCGCCGUCGUUAUUCCCAUGACGUGGCGAGACGCCCCCGGGAAACCUCGAGUCUUUGAGUUCCGGGGGUAGUAUGGUUGCAAAACUGAAACUUAAAGGAAUUGACGGAAGGGCACCACCAGGAGUGGAGCCUGCGGCUUAAUUUGACUCAACACGGGAAACCUCACCAGGCCCGGACACCAGAAGGAUUGACAGAUUAAGAGCUCUUUCUCAAUUUGGUGGGUGGUGGUGCAUGGCCGUUCUUAGUUGGUGGAGUGAUUUGUCUGGUUAAUUCCGGUAACGAACGAGACUCUGGCCUACUAACUAGUGGGUGGGUGUUCCGGUAAGGGGCCCCAUCCGACAAUGUCUUCUUAGAGGGAUGAGCAGCGAGUAUAGCUGCAGGAGAUUGAGCAAUAACAGGUCUGUGAUGCCCUUAGAAG